ACCAUUUUAGGGGUCCAAAACUUUUUCCAGACAUAUACCCAAUGAAAUUGCAAUUAAUUCAUUCUAGUAUCUCGUCCUUUACCUCAGCCGGGACGUACUUAAUCCGUCGCAGCUUCGGGAAAUUUCUCGACGGAUUUUGCCUUUUCCAGAGAAUGGUUUUUUUUUAUUCAAUUCAAUUCAUUCAAUUCCCCAGAAAUGUGCUAUCAAAUUUUUUAAGGUCAUUUUUGUCGGGGGCCCCUAAAGUUCGGGGGCCCCCCGUCACUGGACACCCUGACACCCUCCUGUUACGCCACUGCAAGUCAUGCAUUUACCUAGGUUUUUUUCUAAUAUUGCAUGUUCCUACCUUCCCAAUGUUUACACUGUGUGUUUUCCUCAUUCUUUCUCUCAAUUUUUAUGUAUUAUUAUCACUUUUAUUUUCGUUCCGGUAAUUCAUAUUCGGGAGGGGAUAUGUUAUGGAUAUGAGGGGAUAUGUUUAUAGUUUUAAUAAAUUGUGUGUUAAUAUUAUGCACUCCUUAUUCGGAAUAACUUUUGUUUUAUAUGUUCC